rnacentral:rRNA from 1 species
AGAGUUUGAUCAUGGCUCAGGAUGAACGCUGGCGGCGUGCUUAACACAUGCAAGUCGAACGAACCUUCGGGUUAGUGGCGGACGGGUGAGUAACGCGUGAGAAUCUGCCCUCAGGAGGGGGAUAACGGCUGGAAACGGCCGCUAAUACCCCAUAUGCCGAGAGGUGAAAUGAAAUUCGCCUGAGGAUGAGCUCGCGUCUGAUUAGCUAGUUGGUGGGGUAAGAGCCUACCAAGGCGACGAUCAGUAGCUGGUCUGAGAGGAUGAUCAGCCACACUGGGACUGAGACACGGCCCAGACUCCUACGGGAGGCAGCAGUGGGGAAUUUUCCGCAAUGGGCGAAAGCCUGACGGAGCAACGCCGCGUGAGGGAUGAAGGCCUCUGGGCUGUAAACCUCUUUUCUCAAGGAAGAAGAACUGACGGUACUUGAGGAAUAAGCCACGGCUAAUUCCGUGCCAGCAGCCGCGGUAAUACGGGAGUGGCAAGCGUUAUCCGGAAUUAUUGGGCGUAAAGCGUCCGCAGGCGGCCUCGUAAGUCUGUUGUCAAAGCGUGGAGCUUAACUCCAUUUCGGCAAUGGAAACUGUGAGGCUUGAGUGUGGUAGGGGCAGAGGGAAUUCCCGGUGUAGCGGUGAAAUGCGUAGAUAUCGGGAAGAACACCAGUGGCGAAGGCGCUCUGCUGGGCCAUAACUGACGCUCAUGGACGAAAGCCAGGGGAGCGAAAGGGAUUAGAUACCCCUGUAGUCCUGGCCGUAAACGAUGAACACUAGGUGUCGGGGGAAUCGACCCCCUCGGUGUCGUAGCCAACGCGUUAAGUGUUCCGCCUGGGGAGUACGCACGCAAGUGUGAAACUCAAAGGAAUUGACGGGGGCCCGCACAAGCGGUGGAGUAUGUGGUUUAAUUCGAUGCAACGCGAAGAACCUUACCAGGGUUUGACAUCCUGCGAAUCCCUGAGAAAUCGGGGAGUGCCUUCGGGAGCGCAGAGACAGGUGGUGCAUGG